GGGCUUGUGGUCUAGUGGUAUGAUUUUCCCUUAGCAUGGGAGAGGUCCGGGGUUCAGUUCGUACACCCA